rnacentral:rRNA from 1 species
GGGGAAUAUUGGACAAUGGGGGCAACCCUGAUCCAGCAAUGCCGCGUGUGUGAAGAAGGUCUUCGGAUUGUAAAGCACUUUCGACGGGGACGAUGAUGACGGUACCCGCAGAAGAAGCCCCGGCUAACUUCGUGCCAGCAGCCGCGGUAAUACGAAGGGGGCUAGCGUUGCUCGGAAUGACUGGGCGUAAAGGGCGUGUAGGCGGUUUACACAGUCAGAUGUGAAAUCCCCCGGGCUUAACCUGGGAGCUGCAUUUGAUACGUGUAGACUAGAGUGUGAGAGAGGGUUGUGGAAUUCCCAGUGUAGAGGUGAAAUUCGUAGAUAUUGGGAAGAACACCGGUGGCGAAGGCGGCAACCUGGCUCAUGACUGACGCUGAGGCGCGAAAAGCGUGGGGAGCAAACAGGAUUAGAUACCCUGGUAGUCCACGCUGUAAACGAUGUGUGCUAGAUGUUGGGUAACUUUG